GUUGCUGGACGUGACCCCUGCCCACGAGGAGCUUGACUGCGAACCCUGUGUGGGACAGGGACCGCGUCCCAUCGGUCCGUCUCGUAACCGGCCCGCGGCCGGAACCGUGCCGGCACGGAGGAAGCGGUCCGUCAUCCUCGGAACUCCCCGACGGAGCCAACGGCCCGUUUUUCCCAGCAGAGAAGCGGGCGGAGAGCCGUCUCCUACCGGCCACUUGUUCCCGCUCGGCCCCGAGCCCGCUAAACCUGAAACUGUCCUUCCCCCCCCCCCCCCACAGAGUUAAGCGACCGGAAGGGGCCCCCGCAAACCACGCCUGUGAAGUGGCAGGUGGGCAGGCAUAAGUCCUGGCUCUUCUAAUGGCCCGGCGUGGCCAUCUGGAAACCGUGCACCGUUCUGGAGCGAGAAAAACCUCGAGUCCUUUCCGUGGCGCGCUCGGCGCGGACCGUUCCGAUGACGAGUUUCCGGUGGGGGUUUCCUGGAACUGACACCUUGCGGAAUCCCGAGGGCCACCGGCCUUGGGACGGCAGAAUCAUUUCAUAGCGACGCUCCCUGGGGGACCUGGCUUCGUCACGGGACGGACGAGCACGAGCACGGGAGGACGAGCAGAGAGGCGCAGUCAGAAGAACAUACAAUUCCCCAGCUGCGUCUCUCCACAAUACGGGGUGGAAACCCAGUAAUAAUGGGGACAACAGCAAGCCCAGGGUUUGAGGUUUUCAGAACUACCGGGCUCCCUUCCUCAGCUGGGCACGGGCUGGCAUAAAGAAGGGCUCAAGCUGGGCUCAGUGGUCCAGAGUGAAGGGAGCGGCUACCGGGGGGAGAGGAGCAGGAGGAGGAAGGAAAUCGAGCAAAGAGGAGGACGAGGAGGAGGACGAAGGGGAAAUCCAGUCCAAAAGGACCCAAAUGGACCUAAAUGGAGCCUAAACGGGUCUCACUACCGAGGGGGACACAUGCAUCUUCAGGGUCUGUGAUGCAACCCCCAGAUAAGAUACUCUUCUUUGUUGAAAAAAAAAUUGAGCCAACUUAGAA